GACGAACCGAGCAAACGUUAUUCGGAAUCACUGUGCUUAAAGGGCGCGUAGGCGGGCAUUCAAGUCUAUGGUGAAAUCCGGCAGCUUAACUGUCGAACUGCCGUGGAUACUGGAUGUCUCGAGGGAGGUAGGGGCGUGCGGAACUAUUGGUGGAGCGGUGAAAUGCGUUGAUAUCAAUAGGAACUCCGGUGGCGAAGGCGGCACGCUGGACCUCUUCUGACGCUGAGGCGCGAAAGCCAGGGGAGCAAACGGG
rnacentral:rRNA from 1 species